rnacentral:ribozyme from 1 species
ACCUAUCUUUAUAUACACCUUUUCGCGGUGAUAGGUAUAAGUAAAUUAAUUUAAUUUUAAAUUAAUUGAAACCAAGAUAUAU